rnacentral:rRNA from 1 species
GGGUUGUGAGGUUAAGUGACUAAGCGUACACGGUGGAUGCCUAGGCAGUCAGAGGCGAUGAAGGGCGUGCUAAUCUGCGAUAAGCGUCGGUAAGGUGAUAUGAACCAUUAUAACCGGCGAUACCCGAAUGGGGAAACCCAGUGCAAUCCGUUGCACUAUCAUAACAUGAAUACAUAGUGUUAUGAGGCGAACCGGGGGAACUGAAACAUCUAAGUACCCCGAGGAAAAGAAAUCAACCGAGAUUCCCCUAGUAGCGGCGAGCGAACGGGGAGGAGCCCAGAACCUGAAUCAGUUUGUGUGUUAGUGGAAGCGUCUGGAAAGUCGCACGGAACAGGGUGAUAGUCCCGUACACCAAAAUGCACAAGUUGUGAGUUCGAUGAGUAAGGCGGGACACGUGACAUCCUGUCUGAAUAUGGGGGGACCAUCCUCCAAGGCUAAAUACUCCUGACUGACCGAUAGUGAACCAGUACCGUGAGGGAAAGGCGAAAAGAACCCCGGCGAGGGGAGUGAAAUAGAACCUGAAACCGUGUACGUACAAGCAGUGGGAGCCUACUUUGUUGGGUGACUGCGUACCUUUUGUAUAAUGGGUCAGCGACUUAUAUUUUGUAGCAAGGUUAACCGAAUAGGGGAGCCGUAGGGAAACCGAGUCUUAACUGGGCGUCAAGUUGCAAGGUAUAGACCCGAAACCCGGUGAUCUAGCCAUGGGCAGGUUGAAGGUUGGGUAACACUAACUGGAGGACCGAACCGACUAAUGUUGAAAAAUUAGCGGAUGACUUGUGGCUGGGGGUGAAAGGCCAAUCAAACCGGGAGAUAGCUGGUUCUCCCCGAAAGCUAUUUAGGUAGCGCCUCGUGAACUCAUCUUCGGGGGUAGAGCACUGUUUCGACUAGGGGUCCAUCCCGGAUUACCAACUCGAUGCAAACUCCGAAUACCGAAGAAUGUUAUCACGGGAGACACACGGCGGGUGCUAACGUCCGUCGUGAAGAGGGAAACAACCCAGACCGCCAGCUAAGGUCCCAAAGUCAUGGUUAAGUGGGAAACGAUGUGGGAAGGCAUAGACAGCCAGGAUGUUGGCUUAGAAGCAGCCAUCAUUUAAAGAAAGCGUAAUAGCUCACUGGUCGAGUCGGCCUGCGCGGAAGAUGUAACGGGGCUAAACCAUGCACCGAAGCUGCGGCAGCGAUAUGAAAGUAUUGUUGGGUAGGGGAGCGUUCUGUAAGCCUGUGAAGCUGGACUGUGAGGUCUGGUGGAGGUAUCAGAAGUGCGAAUGCUGACAUAAGUAACGAUAAAGCGGGUGAAAAGCCCGCUCGCCGGAAGACCAAGGGUUCCUGUCCAACGUUAAUCGGGGCAGGGUGAGUCGACCCCUAAGGCGAGGCCGAAAGGCGUAGUCGAUGGGAAACAGGUUAAUAUUCCUGUACUUGGUGUUACUGCGAAGGGGGGACGAAGAAGGCUAGGCUAUCCGGGCGACGGUUGUCCCGGUUUAAGCGUGUAGGUGGGUCGAUUAGGUAAAUCCGGUUGACUAUUAACACUGAGGCGUGAUGACGAGCCACUACGGUGGUGAAGUAGUUGAUGCCCUGCUUCCAGGAAAAGCCUCUAAGCUCCAGGUAACAUUAAAUCGUACCCCAAACCGACACAGGUGGUCAGGUAGAGAAUACUCAGGCGCUUGAGAGAACUCGGGUGAAGGAACUAGGCAAAAUGGUGCCGUAACUUCGGGAGAAGGCACGCUGACGUUAGGUGAAGAGACUUGCUCUCGGAGCUGAAGUCAGUCGAAGAUACCAGCUGGCUGCAACUGUUUAUUAAAAACACAGCACUGUGCAAACACGAAAGUGGACGUAUACGGUGUGACGCCUGCCCGGUGCUGGAAGGUUAAUUGAUGGGGUUAGCGUAAGCGAAGCUCUUGAUCGAAGCCCCAGUAAACGGCGGCCGUAACUAUAACGGUCCUAAGGUAGCGAAAUUCCUUGUCGGGUAAGUUCCGACCUGCACGAAUGGCGUAAUGAUGGCCAGGCUGUCUCCACCCGAGACUCAGUGAAAUUGAACUCGCAGUGAAGAUGCUGUGUACCCGCGGCAAGACGGAAAGACCCCGUGAACCUUUACUAUAGCUUGACACUGAACAUUGAGCCUUGAUGUGUAGGAUAGGUGGGAGGCUUAGAAGCGUGGACGCCAGUCUGCGUGGAGCCAACCUUGAAAUACCACCCUUUAAUGUUUGAUGUUCUAACUUUGACCCGUUAUCCGGGUUGAGGACAGUGUCUGGUGGGUAGUUUGACUGGGGCGGUCUCCUCCCAAAGAGUAACGGAGGAGCACGAAGGUUAGCUAAUCACGGUCGGACAUCGUGAGGUUAGUGCAAUGGCAUAAGCUAGCUUGACUGCGAGAGUGACGGCUCGAGCAGGUACGAAAGUAGGUCAUAGUGAUCCGGUGGUUCUGAAUGGAAGGGCCAUCGCUCAACGGAUAAAAGGUACUCCGGGGAUAACAGGCUGAUACCGCCCAAGAGUUCAUAUCGACGGCGGUGUUUGGCACCUCGAUGUCGGCUCAUCACAUCCUGGGGCUGAAGUAGGUCCCAAGGGUACGGCUGUUCGCCGUUUAAAGUGGUACGCGAGCUGGGUUUAGAACGUCGUGAGACAGUUCGGUCCCUAUCUGCCGUGGGCGUUGGAAGAUUGAGAGGGGUUGCUCCUAGUACGAGAGGACCGGAGUGAACGCACCACUGGUGUUCGGGUUGUCAUGCCAAUGGCAUUGCCCGGUAGCUACGUGCGGAAAAGAUAACCGCUGAAAGCAUCUAAGCGGGAAACUUGCCUCGAGAUGAGUCUUCCCUUGGACCUUGAGUCCACUGAAGGAACGUUAAAGACUAUGACGUUGAUAGGUCGGGUGUGUAAGCGUAGCGAUACGUUGAGCUAACCGAUACUAAUGAACCGUGAGACUUAACCUUACAACACCGAAGGUGUUU